UACGGGGGGGGCAAGCGUUGUUCGGAAUUACUGGGCGUAAAGGGCUCGUAGGCGGCCAACUAAGUCAGACGUGAAAUCCCUCGGCUUAACCGGGGAACUGCGUCUGAUACUGGAUGGCUUGAGAUUGGGAGAGGGAUGCGGAAUUCCAGGUGUAGCGGUGAAAUGCGUAGAUAUCUGGAGGAACACCGGUGGCGAAGGCGGCAUCCUGGACCAACACUGACGCUGAGGAGCGAAAGCCAGUGGAGCAAACGGG
rnacentral:rRNA from 1 species